rnacentral:rRNA from 1 species
UACGUAGGGUGCGAGCGUUGCCCGGAUUUAUUGGGCGUAAAGGGCGCGUAGGCGGCUCGGCACGUCCGUUGUGAAAUCGCCCGGCUCAACUGGGCGGGGUCAGCGGAUACGGUCGAGCUUGAGCAAGCUAGGGGGCAAUGGAAUUCCCGGUGUAGUGGUGGAAUGCGUAGAUAUCGGGAGGAACACCAGUGGCGAAGGCGGUUGCCUGGGGGCUUUGCUGACGCUGAUGCGCGAAAAGCGUGGGGGAGCGAUCCGG